UAAACAAACCAAAUCGCAACCGGCUGGUUUUUCCACCUUCAGCUAAACACAUUGUGUCGUUCGCUAAAGGAUUUGUGAAAUCCAUAUAUAUUUGUGAAAUCCAUAUAUUACUGAAUAUACACGGAAUAUUCGGAGGGUGAACGGAAUGGGAUGUUAAUAGUGUGUAAAAUCGGGAAAGUUUUUGGAAUGAAUAUUAUGUAAAAGAAAUGGCUGGAAUUAUUGACGAUAUGCGGCGUUCGAUUCAAUUGACUAUUACCAACAAACUUCGACAGGCGAGACAUGUAGAUUGUACAACAAGCUAUCAAGAAAUCAAGGAUAGUCUUAUAAAUUGUGACGACGACGAAAAGGAGAAACUUUUAGAUAGUUUAAAAGAGCACGAAUCAGCACUGGAAGAUCUUAUAAAAAAUUGUGAAAGAGCUAAAGACGAAAAUAAAAUGCGUCUAGAAGUCUUGAAGAGCAUGCGUCUGGAAGUCCUGGAGAGCAAUGUGCAAAAACGGAUUCCACGGGGAAAACAAUAUGCUAGGGCCUGUGUAGCUUUUGGAAUGAUAUACAGUAUGGUAUUAAGAUUUAAAAUCACAUGUUAAUGUUUCGUUGCAAAGAAGUGAUCACAAAAAGCUCUGAAAUUAUUUUGAAUUUGGUACAAGAUAAACGUAAAGUUGAUUUGUUUUAUUUUUGUCUUUCAGCAAACAAAUUUAUUUACCAUACACGCAGACUGUAUGACUUGCUUGCAAACAUUGUGUUGUAAAACCAAAUCGCCAAUAAAGGAAUCGAACAAAACGUGUACACUUAUUAAUCAUCAUUUUAAAUAGUUUCAUGUGAUACAACU